UGGAAUACAAACAGGUUCUCACUCUCUCUCUCUCUCUCUCACUCUCACAAAAUCAAGCACCACCAAACCUCACCUCACCUCGCCUCGCCUCGCCGCGAUCCGCUCAUCUUACCAUCGCUCACCGCCGUGCGACGUCGCACAUCGCCAUCGAGAUCUGAAUAAGAUUUGAGUCCUAGGCCGAGAUCUGACCGUCGUAAGCGAUCCACACAUAUCCGUCGCCGGCAGUGAAGACGGAGAGACUAUGCCUAACCGUUGAGAUCUAAAUCAGAUUCGAUUUCGCAAGCUAAAAAUCUCUUGAGCACUCAGAUCUCUGUGAUUUUCUGCUCCAAUCAACACCUCUGUCUAUAGGAGGUGGCAAUUGUGGGAAGGAAACUUUUCUUUUGGGUUCUUUCAUUGGUUCCUUAAUCUUUCUUCCAGUUUUUUUUAUCAUUCAUGGUGUUAAGGGUUUUAAGGGUGAACCCAUUACUUGUUACUACACUGGUUGAAUUUACCUUGGUAUGCUUUGUUCAUCCAGCCCUGGGUAUGUUUAUAUUGCUAUUAUCUCAUGCAUUGAGCUGUGACAGUGCAUUAUCCAGGUACUAGUCAAAGAGAUGCCCCUUUUUCUCGUUAUCUUAUUGUUUGGAAGCAUGAAUUGCUAAAUAAAUUGCUUGACGCUCAUUGUUCAUUGUUUUUCAAAUGUAUUCUUGGAUUUUUUAUAUUCUCUUUUUGGCUUGUACAAAUUUUUUUAUAUAUUCAGUAUGUUACUCUUCCUAGCUUUAAAACACACACUACACACAAACAUGCAUGCACACAAUGGCAAAGCAAAUUAAAUGCCAAAAUUCCUAUAUUAUCUAUCAAAACAGAACAUGCAUAAGUAGUUCAGGGACUUCAAACACAAACCACGUUCAUUGUGGUUUCUUGAUCAUAAGGAAUGCAAUAGUUGCUCUCUUUUGACCAAGACCACACCAGCUAUAAUUUGGUGUUUUUGCUCCAUCUCCUGGUAAGUUUUACCUGGUCUUUUGUGUUGUUAGGUUAGGAUUCCCCUUUCAUCAUGCAUGUUCAAUAUUCUAACCCUUUGAAAUUGGAAAUAACUUAAGAGUAUAUUAGAGUUAUGGCUGGUGAUUCAUACUGCUAUCGUCCACUUGCAACUCAUUGAUGAACUAAUUUAGUGUCAUAUAUUUCCAUGCAAUGCAUUGGAGCUACAACAAUCAAUCAUAGCCAUGCAUGAAAGUAGAAUAACAUAGUGUUAGAAAUUGAUUACUCAUGAAAGUAGAAUAACAUAGUCAUAGAAUUUCUCAAACCUCUUAUUUUAUUCCUUGAUUUUUGAAAAGUGACUAAUAUUUUGGAACAAUGAAAACUGGGAUAAGGGACUAAUAUAUUGGGACAGAAGGAGUAUUAACAUCUUUGGGAUUACUCAUGAAGUGAGUUAUUUCAAUGUGGGACUUUGCUUCCCACCCUCCCUCACGCCUAGUGUGCAGGGCCCAAGACACGCACCCUUCCCAUCCCUCUUUGAUACCAUGGGACACUGUCUUGGGUAAGUGAAAGUACUCUUAGAAUUAUACACUGUACAUCCCCUUUGUACCCAGGCGGUGUGGCUCACAUAUCUUCCAAAGUGAAAAAUACAAUUCUGUGAUUGUUUAGGAUGGGCAGAGUGGAAGUCAGAUGCCCUAGUAUUUUGUACUAAGUAAAAAAGAGAAGGAAAUUACAAAAGAAAAAAUGGUUUCACUUUUCCCUGAUUUGAAGUGAGAAUCUGGAUGAUUAUUGUCGGGUUUAAAUUUUUAGCACAUAUGUUAGUUUGCAUGUAUUAUGUUUCCUAUUCUAUAAUUGUUCUCGCUGUUUCAUGGACAAUAUUUUUACCAAUUUUUUUUCUUGAUUGUUCAAUAAAAUAGUGUGACCUAUAUUUCUCUUAUUCGUCUUUACGCUCUACUUGUAAAAUUGAUCUUAUCCAUUUAUCUUGUUUCC